GAGCUGGAGGCGUCACAGAAGAUUAUGAGGCGGAGCUGGGCACGAACGGCAGCAGGUUCUGAGGCACCAAAAUACAAAAAAAGUCAAGGGGGGUGAAUACUUUUGCAAGACACUGUAAAUGCACAGUCCAUCAGAGUCACUCUGGACUUUCGCUUCAGUACAUCAUUGCUGGAUCUUUUACAAUCAGAGCUGAGAAAAAGCCAUCUAUCAGACUGGUUAAAUCGUCUUAUGGUUUGAACAUUGUCUCAGCGAUAUUCAGUAUUACCGCAGUGAUAAUUAAUAUAGUGGAUUUUAGCUUCAUAAAUUGUGACGAUUAUUAUUAUAAAUGUCAUGAUGAGGGGGCCAGUGCAUAUACAAUUGUUUCCAUCCUCCUUGUUAUGAAUCUUCUGGUGUUCUGUACGGCUGUCUCAAUUGCUGCGUUUGGUGGUCGUGCUUUGGAAGAGGUGCCAACAAAUGUCACUCCGGUGUUCGUGAUUCAAAAUGUUGUCUCAAUGCCUCACUCUUCCUAUCCAGAAAAUUCUUCCGAGACCUCCAUUCCUGCUCCUCCUCCUUAUUUUACUUCAUAAAAGACAAACCACAAAUCGCCUAUGAAAUUAAGAAUAAUGUAUAGAAAUAAAAUCGGAAACAGAUUAAACGGUCCAAUGUGUUAUGAGCUUUAUAUGAUGACCUAUGUAAGCACAGCAUAUCACAGCUACAGGUCCAUACUCCUUGUAGCUAAAACUGCACAAAAAUGUUGUGCUAUUUGGCUAUUCGGAGCAAGAAUAUAGUGGGUGUAUUCAUGAGGGGACUGUGUAUGCACAUAUCUGGAACUUGGGCUGAGCUGCAGAAAAUGUGAGACACUCAGACCAUGUUUAAAGCCUUGGCAGAAAUGUGAGAGACAUGCAGCGUGAGGUGGCAGCAUAUCUCCCUCUUCUGUCAAGACCAUAGGCAAGGUCUGGGAGACCAAAACACUGACCAGAUCUGAAAGUUUCAAUCCAUUAAUGUAAUUAAAUGCUAGAUUAUUGA